GAUCCAGACAGGACCAGACUGGUAUAUGUUAUUAAUACUGUAGUGUCUAUGUCAUGAUGUAGGAGCUGCUGUGUUAUAAAGCCAGACAGGACCAGACUGGUAUAUGUUAUUAAUACUGUAGUGUCUAUGUCAUGAUGUAGGAGCUGCUGUGUUAUAGAUCCAGACAGGACCAGACUGGUAUAUGUUAUUAAUACUGUAGUGUCUAUGUCAUGAUGUAGGAGCUGCUGUGUUAUAGAUCCAGACAGGACCAGACUGGUAUAUGUUAUUAAUACUGUAGUGUCUAUGUCAUGAUGUAGGAGCUGCUGUGUUAUAGAUCCAGACAGGACCAGACUGGUAUAUGUUAUUAAUACUGUAGUGUCUAUGUCAUGAUGUAGGAGCUGCUGUGUUAUAGAUCCAGACAGGACCAGACUCAGGUGGACUGUAAUGAAGCAUGUACAGCCCUACGAAGAAAGGCCAACGAGGUGAAAGAAGCAGAAGAGAAUGCAGCCCUGGAGGAAGAGAGGAAGAAACAACAGGCUGAGUUGGAAGCCUUUGAGAAUCGUCAGAAGGGCAGACGUAAGAAGCGAGGGAAGAGAGGAGAGGAGGAGGAGGAGGAGGAGGAGGGUGGUUGUAGGAGGUAUAGAGUGGUCAUGGUGUCUCUGGGUGGAGUUCUACUGGCUGCUGUCGCUUUCUAUCUCAUACAAAUGGAUUAGACACACACACACCAACACACACACCAACACACACACCAACACACACACACCAUCACACACACCAACACACACACCAACGCACACACCAACACACGCACACACCCAGACAACAUCUCACAGGCAGACAGAAACAGGCAGACAGACAGACAGACAGAGACUCUUCCUGGUUCAGAUGAUGUCUACUUUAGCAGAGGAGAGAGAACCAGUAUCACUUCCUGUUUCACACUCUGAAUGAUUUAUGAUCUAUUAGGAUGGGUCUGAAAUGGAACCCCAUUAGGAUGGGUCUGAAAUGGAACCCCAUUAGGAUGGGUCUGAAAUAGAACCCCAUUAGGAUGGGUCUGAAAUAGAACCCCAUUAGGAUGGGUCUGAAAUAGAACCCCAUUAGGAUGGGUCUGAAAUGGAACCCCAUUAGGAUGGGUCUGAAAUAGAACCCCAUUAGGAUGGGUCUGAAAUGGAACCCCAUUAGGAUGGGUCUGAAAUAGAACCCCAUUAGGAUGGGUCUGAAAUGGAACCCCAUUAGGAUGGGUCUGAAAUGGAACCCCAUUAGGAUGGGUCUGAAAUAGAACCCCAUUAGGAUGGGUCUGAAAUAGAACCCCAUUAGGGUGGGUCUGAAAUGGAACCCCAUUAGGGUGGGUCUGAAAUGGAACCCCAUUAGGAUGGGUCUGAAAUAGAACCCCAUUAGGGUGGGUCUGAAAUAGAACCCCAUUAGGGUGGGUCUGAAAUGGAACCCCAUUAGGAUGGGUCUGAAAUAGAACCCCGUUAGGGUGGGUCUGAAAUAGAACCCCAUUAGGGUGGGUCUGAAAUGGAACCCCAUUAGGGUGGGUCUGAAAUAGAACCCCAUUAGGGUGGGUCUGAAAUAGAACCCCAUUAGGAUGGGUCUGAAAUAGAACCCCAUUAGGGUGGGUCUGAAAUAGAACCCCAUUAGGGUGGGUCUGAAAUAGAACCCCAUUAGGGUGGGUCUGAAAUAGAACCCCAUUAGGAUGGGUCUGAAAUAGAACCCCGUUAGGAUGGGUCUGAAAUGGAACCCCAUUAGGAUGGGUCUGAAAUAGAACCCCAUUAGGGUGGGUCUGAAAUAGAACCCCAUUAGGGUGGGUCUGAAAUAGAACCCCAUUAGGGUGGGUCUGAAAUAGAACCCCGUUAGGGUGGGUCUGAAAUAGAACCCCAUUAGGAUGGGUCUGAAAUAGAACCCCAUUAGGGUGGGUCUGAAAUAGAACCCCAUUAGGGUGGGUCUGAAAUGGAACCCCAUUAGGAUGGGUCUGAAAUAGAACCCCAUUAGGGUGGGUCUGAAAUAGAACCCCAUUAGGAUGGGUCUGAAAUAGAACCCCAUGCACUGGGUUAGACCUCAUAGGGUGGGUCUGAAAUAGAACCCCAUUAGGAUGGGUCUGAAAUGGAACCCCAUUAGGGUGGGUCUGAAAUAGAACCCCAUUAGGGUGGGUCUGAAAUAGAACCCCAUUAGGGUGGGUCUGAAAUAGAACCCCAUUAGGGUGGGUCUGAAAUAGAACCCCAUUAGGAUGGGUCUGAAAUAGAACCCCAUUAGGGUGGGUCUGAAAUAGAACCCCGUGCACUGGGUUAGACCUCAUAGGGUGGGUCUGAAAUGGAACCCCAUUAGGGUGGGUCUGAAAUAGAACCCCAUUAGGGUGGGUCUGAAAUAGAACCCCAUUAGGGUGGGUCUGAAAUAGAACCCCAUUAGGAUGGGUCUGAAAUAGAACCCCGUUAGGGUGGGUCUGAAAUAGAACCCCGUGCACUGGGUUAGACCUCAUAGGGUGGGUCUGAAAUAGAACCCCAUUAGGAUGGGUCUGAAAUAGAACCCCAUUAGGGUGGGUCUGAAAUAGAACCCCAUUAGGAUGGGUCUGAAAUAGAACCCCGUUAGGGUGGGUCUGAAAUAGAACCCCAUUAGGGUGGGUCUGAAAUAGAACCCCAUUAGGAUGGGUCUGAAAUAGAACCCCAUUAGGGUGGGUCUGAAAUAGAACCCCAUUAGGGUGGGUCUGAAAUAGAACCCCAUUAGGAUGGGUCUGAAAUAGAACCCCAUUAGGGUGGGUCUGAAAUAGAACCCCAUUAGGGUGGGUCUGAAAUAGAACCCCAUUAGGGUGGGUCUGAAAUAGAACCCCAUUAGGAUGGGUCUGAAAUAGAACCCCAUUAGGAUGGGUCUGAAAUAGAACCCCGUGCACUGGGUUAGACCUCAUAGGGUGGGUCUGAAAUAGAACCCCGUGCACUGGGUUAGACCUCAUAGGGAAUAGGACAAACAUAUUUAGUCUCAUUAUUACAAGUGUUAUUUUUCUUAAUAUCAGGAUUAUUAUUGUUAUGAAACUUGGUCUGCAAUCCAGCUGGUUUUAACUCCGCCUAGAAACACCAGGAGAUUUAUCAUUCAAGGGUCUCGGAGUCGGAUUGCUGCUGAUCUAGGAUCAGUCGUUAGCAGCUUAUUCAGGCUGAUAUGAAAAUGUCAAACUGAUCCUAGUUCAGCCUUCAUGUCUCUAUUGAGUGAACAUCAGUCUGAUUUGGGGAUUUAUUUCUGAUUGUUGUGAGAUCUGAACGUUUGGCGAGCGGUGAGGUGUUAUUGUCUGUUGAUGAUUGAUGAUACUUUGUUUUGUGUAAUAAAAUAAAAAAUAAAAUCUGAAUUUGGAAAUAA